UGGUGGAGUGAUUUGUCUGCUUAAUUGCGAUAACGAACGAGACCUUAACCUACUAAAUAGCCCGCGUUGCUUUGGCAGCGCGCUGGCUUCUUAGAGGGACUAUCGGCUCAAGCCGAUGGAAGUUUGAGGCAAUAACA
rnacentral:rRNA from 1 species